GGGCCGUUAGCAUAAUGGUAGUGCAUCCGGUUUGCAUCCGGAAGGCGCGAGUUCGAUUCUCGCACGGUCCACCA
rnacentral:tRNA from 1 species